CGGACGGGUGAGUAAUGUCUUGGAAACUGCCUGAUGGAGGGGGAUAACUACUGGAAACGGUAGCUAAUACCGCAUAACGUCGCAAGACCAAAGAGGGGACCUUCGGGCCUCUUGCCAUCAGAUGUGCCCAGAUGGGAUUAGCUAGUAUGUGGGGUAACGGCUCACCUAGGCGACGAUCCCUAGCUGGUCUGAGAGGAUGACCAGCCACACUUGAACUGAGACACGGUCCAG
rnacentral:rRNA from 1 species